rnacentral:rRNA from 1 species
UACGUAGGUGGCAAGCGUUGUCCGGAUUUACUGGGCGUAAAGAGCGCGCAGGCGGUCGACCAAGUCGCGUGUGAAAGCCCCCGGCUCAACUGGGGAGGGUCACGCGAUACUGAUCGACUCGAAGGCAGGAGAGGGUAGUGGAAUUCCCGGUGUAGUGGUGAAAUGCGUAGAUAUCGGGAGGAACACCAGUGGCGAGGGCGACUCUUUGGUCUGUAACUGACGCUGAGGCGCGAAAGCGUGGGGAGCAAACAGG